rnacentral:rRNA from 1 species
UACGGGGGGGGCAAGCGUUGUUCGGAAUUACUGGGCGUAAAGGGCGCGUAGGCGGCCAUCUAAGUCAGACGUGAAAUCCCUCGGCUCAACCGAGGAACUGCGUCUGAUACUGGAAGGCUUGAAUCCGGGAGAGGGAUGUGGAAUUCCAGGUGUAGCGGUGAAAUGCGUAGAUAUCUGGAGGAACACCGGGUGGCGAAGGCGGCAUCCUGGACCGGUAUUGACGCUGAGGCGCGAAAGCUAGGGGAGCAAACGGG